rnacentral:rRNA from 1 species
UACGUAGGGUCCGAGCGUUGUCCGGAAUUAUUGGGCGUAAAGGGCUCGUAGGCGGUUGGUCACGUCGGGUGUGAAAACUCAGGGCUCAACCCUGAGCGUGCUUCCGAUACGGGCCGACUAGAGGUAUGCAGGGGAGAACGGAAUUCCUGGUGUAGCGGUGGAAUGCGCAGAUAUCAGGAGGAACACCGGUGGCGAAGGCGGUUCUCUGGGCAUUACCUGACGCUGAGGAGCGAAAGCAUGGGGAGCGAACAGG